rnacentral:rRNA from 4 species
UUGACCUCGAAUCAGGUAGGGAUACCCGCUGAACUUAAGCAU